GCUGGUUUCUGGGACCAGGACUUGAGAAGGCUGAUGUCGGGAAGGGGGCGAAGGAUGGGGAGAAUCGCGGGGAAAGAGCUAGGUCUCCACUCCCAUAUCGAGAUUAAGAUUCCGUGGAAUCCGAGUAACAUUUGAAUUCCCGCUAGCUGCGUGCACGCGGAAGAGGGCGAAAUUUAUGAAAACAUAACUCAGGCCCCAAGGGUGAGAAGAGCCUCCGCGGCCACACUUACCUGCUUCAAGUUCCUGCGGGUGUUCAGCUGGCCGGCGGAAGAGCUGAGACCGCGCCGCCGAGAGUUGCUGGCUGGCCAGUCAUACAGGGGACGUGGAACUUCUCCUCUCAGAACCCAGAACAAAGAGUCAUACAGUUGGUCUUCAAGCAACCUGCCGAAAUAAACGCCGUGAUUUCCAUUUUCUAGAGGGAGAAAGGGAAGAAGUGGAGUUCUGUGAGGUCUCAGGAAAGGCCAGGCAGGAGCAAGGAUGCACCUUCACUUAGCAGAUGUCCCUGGAGCGCUGGUUAGGCCAGCCCCACGCUAGGCACCAAGGACCCAGGAUCUCACUAAGCAGAAGAGGGGCCAGUUAAUAACCAAGGAGCCAGAACCUCAUUGCAAGUAUGAGAAGAGCUGGAGAGAGAAGGAGGACAGAGAUGAGAACCCUGGAGACCCGGGGACACCACCUCAGGUCCUGGGAGAUCACCUAAGUUCUGAGUGGCACAAAUAAGGGGAAAUGUUGGGAAGAGUACUCUGCUUGGAAGGAAUGGCUGGUGCAAAGGUCUGGAGGCAAAGACUGGCCUGGGGUACGUGAGGAUCUCCAGGAAGGUGACUUAGGGUCGGCGGGAUGGGCCAGUGGGUAGAGGCACUUGACGCAAGCCUGAUGGCCUGAGUUUGAUCCUCGAGGUCCCCACGGCGGAAGGAGAAGACAGACUCCUGCCCGGUGUCCUUUGACGCCCGUGUGCACCUCGUGGCACAUGUGUGCUCUGGUCCUCCUCCAAUAACUAAGUCAAGAAAUUCAAUAACGAAA